AGCAAGAUCCGUCAUGGAAAGACUGGGAAUCAAAUCCGUCGGUCUUUCCCUCACUAUCGAGAAGGGAUUAUCAGCGUUAGGGAAAAUUGGAUCGAGUGCUGCUAAUGCUGCUGCAGCUGCUGUUGCUGUUAAUGAGAUUUUUGGAAGGAAAUUGUCGGUCUCGGAUCUAGAUUU